rnacentral:rRNA from 1 species
UUGCACGCUGGCGGCAGGCCUAACACCUGCAAGUCGCACGGUAACAGGAAACAGCUUGCUGUUUCGCUGACGAGUGGCGGACGGGUGAGUAAUGUCUGGGAAACUGCCUGAUGGAGGGGGAUAACUACUGGAAACGGUAGCUAAUACCGCAUAACGUCGCAAGACCAAAGAGGGGGACCUUCGGGCCUCUUGCCAUCGGAUGUGCCCAGAUGGGAUUAGCUAGUAGGUGGGGUAACGGCUCACCUAGGCGACGAUCCCUAGCUGGUCUGAGAGGAUGACCAGCCACACUGGAACUGAGACACGGUCCAGACUCCUACGGGAGGCAGCAGUGGGGAAUAUUGCACAAUGGGCGCAAGCCUGAUGCAGCCAUGCCGCGUGUAUGAAGAAGGCCUUCGGGUUGUAAAGUACUUUCAGCGGGGAUGAAGGGAGUAAAGUUAAUACCUUUGCUCAUUGACGUUACCCGCAGAAGAAGCACCGGCUAACUCCGUG